GCCAGGUGUUGUGGCGGGCGCCUGUAGUCCCAGCUACUUGGGAGGCUGAGGCAGGAGACUCGCUUGAGCCCAGGAGUUGGAGGUUGCUGUGAGCAUGAUGCCAUGGCACUCUACCCAGGGGGAUAGCUUGAGGCUCUGUCUCAAAAAAAAAACACUCAAGCUGUCCCCCUGGGCAGAGUGCCGUGGCAUUACAGCUCACAGCAACCUCCAAUUCCUGGGCUCAAGCGAGUCUCCUGCCUCAG
rnacentral:SRP_RNA from 1 species